rnacentral:lncRNA from 10 species
GACAAUCAUCAACCAACCACAUGAGAGAUUCUCUGGAUCCAACAGUUGUCAGUAACUGGACUAGAAGAAAAUUCAGAAAAUGAGUCAGAAAUAUUCAAUUCUUGUGGUAGCUCAACGUAUCAUGAGACUUCCAGGGUUUUGAUUUCUUAGGUUUGUAUGGCCUUUCUAAAUGUUCCCUAUUAUGUGAGUAGGUUUCCCACAACUCUUUCAUUCCCCUGUAAAGCUAAGGAGAAAAAGACCUGAGGUUUGCUGUACUCUUUCAUUUCCCUGUAAAGCUAAGGAGAAAAAGACCUGAGGUUUGUUGUAAGCAACCUUGUUCUCUGGUUUGGCAAAUCACUUGGAUCCUGACUUUUGUGUCAGGAGAAAACCAUCAAGCAGAACAUCACGAUCAAACUUAUCGGACAAACAAGCACAUCCUUCCUUCCUUAACUCAUCCGCCAUUUUCUGGGUUUAUGUCAGAAUGAGCUUGGAGAACCAAAGAGAGAGGACAGAUAUGACAAGGGACUCCGAAUUUUUCCGGAAGGAAUCUUUUUACACUUUGGUCCCAAAAUGUCAGAGACAUCAUGAUUAAAAAAAAAUGUGUGUGUGUGUGUGUGUGUGUCUGUCUGUCUGUCUGUCUGUCUGUCUGUCUAUCUAUCUAUCUAUCUAUCUACCUACCUACCUACCUACCUACCUACCUCAGUCUCUCUCAGCAUCACUGGCCUGGUCCCACUCACCACAGCAGCAUGUUCCCCCUUCUCAUGACAUGGCUAUGAAUGUUUGUCUCCCUUUCUCCUUUUCACGCUUUAUCUGAGUCCUGACCUAAGUUGAUAUUGUCCUACUUACUCCUCUUCCCAUGAAAUUCUGAAAUAUGUUCUGUUAAUUCUCCAGUUAAGGAAUUUCUAUAACCUGUUCUUCCUAUUUUCCUUCCAAGUGUACUAAUCUACCCAGCAUGCUGCUCUUCCCCUUCUUAAUCUGUUCAGAAGGUAACAUCUCACCCAUGUUUCUGAAUCUGCUACUGGAUUUCUACAAAAAUGUUAAGCCCCUUUGACUCAUACCAUGCUUGUCUCUCUUUUAUUGUGCUUGUACUUGCCCUCAAAUCAGUAUCUUUUCCUAUAGCUUGCCUUUCCCUUGGAAAAAUUGUCCAAAAUGAUGCCUGUGAUCUUCUUUUUAAAAGUCAGCUUUUUAAAAUACCCAGUUCAACUUGUAAUUUAUGACUCCCCAUCCACAUUUAGUAUAGAUGCCUCUCUUCAUGGCACUAAGGACUAGUACAUUCAAGAUGUGGGAAGUCCCAUCUAUUCUGAUGUGAUCUCAUGCACCAGUAGGUGUUUGCUUGUGACAAUUUCAUUAGCCCAUCUCUGAGCUUCCAAUAAGGCAGAAAAGGACACCAUUUCAAGAGCCAAAAACCAGCCUUCAAGUAUUCAUCAGCACUGUGACAUACCUGAUCACUCAGGGUUGGGUAUAAAUCCACCUUCAAAAAUCUGAAUGCCACCACUGGCAUAACUGAAGCC